rnacentral:rRNA from 1 species
CCCUAUUAUUUUUAAUAUAGUAUUUCUUUAAUAAUAGUUAUUUUCUUAAAAUUAAGAGAAUUUGGCGGUAAUUUAGUCUAACUAGAGGAAUUUGUAUAAUAAUUGAUAAUCCUCAUUGAAUUUUACUUAUUUUUAAAAGUUUGUAUAUCGUCAUUAGCAGAUUAUAUUUUAAAAUAAUUAUUGGAGUUGAUUAAUUAUAAAAAUUAGACCAUGGUGCAGCUUAUAAAUAAGAAUAUAUUAAUUACAAUAAUUUUAUUUAAUUACGGAUUUUUACAGGAAGGUGUGAUAUAAAGGUGGAUUUAGUUGUAUUUAAAAAAAUUAAUAAAGUUUUAAGAGAUAAGAUUUAAAUUGUGUACAC